UGCACGCUUACAAUCGGGUACGCUGCCC
rnacentral:sRNA from 1 species